GAGGACAGAAGUUUCUCGCAAUUAAAAUUUAUCAGUUUUACUUUCUGCUCUCUGGAAACGCCUGCUUCUUUUUUCCCCGAGAGCAUUUUUUCGCAUUCCGAUUUGGUUAACUUUGUUUUUUGAGUACCUUGUCCAGUUAGUAGGAGUGCCACCUUCCUUUUCAAUAGUGGCGGUAAUUUU
rnacentral:ncRNA from 15 species